rnacentral:misc_RNA from 1 species
UGAAAAUUUAAAUCAAAUGAAUAGAACACAUGCAGAAGAAGAAAUUUAGAAGAAUAUACCGUAAACGUCUUUAAGGCAAAACAAUCCUCUAAUUUCCCAGAAAAGAAUGAAAGAUCCUUCAAUCUACUCACCAUCAAACACUCCCAGGAAAGACUUGUAUCGAGAAUAUGUUAAAACUCCAAAGAACUCUGAUCCUUUCUUGGGUACAUUAAGCACAGACAUGAGCACAUUAGACAACAAAAUCAGAGUCAUCUCUAGCGUCAUUUUCAAUUUUCUUCUUCCUACCCUUUUCCCCCCUCAUUUCUUAAGUUCCAUUUUCAACCAAUUCUACCAAGAGCAAGACAAAACCUUAUUAUCCUGCACUCUAUAUUUUUGUAAUAACUCGUAUGAAAGCAAAUGAAAUAUUAUCUUGUGUUGGUUGGAAAAGAUUUUGGUUGGAUGAAUAUAGAGUUGUUGGUAUUGGGCCAGUUCUGUGUUUCCUGAAAGCCUCAACAGGAAAUUCAAAGGCCACCAACGGCUGAAGGUGCCAUGUGACCGAAGAAGUGGUUUCACUGAAACCAAGACAAGCAUAGGUUUGCAUCAUGCUUCAAGAAUCAAGAAUUAGGCAUAAAAGGUCUAAUUCUAAACCCAAUAAUCAAGAACCAGCAACCCACAAGGCAAAGAUUCAUGGUUGUUAAAUGGGAUUGCAGCAAGGAAAUUGGAAAGAUUGGCUAUAGCAGAAAGGAUUCUUAUAUGUGCAACACAAAUAUUUUCACCUACAUACAUUACUGUUAGUACUGAGUAGCAGAUAGAAUGUAGGCCAUUUCUUGGACAAGAAAAACUGUUUCUAUAUCUCCUUUUGUCCUUUCCCUUUUUGGACAAGAAAAACGAGUUUCAUUUGGCAAUUUCCAUUGAUAAAGAAAAACUUCACUAGAACAGUAAUUCACGCACAAAGUCAGACAGCAUCAGUUAACAGCCGGGAGGGGAUCAAGAUGACAGAAUGUACAGGAAAUACCAAGAAGCAAAUCCACUCAUGCUUUAACAAUCAGGUUUGUCAUUCCCAAAGACAGUUGGUGGAGAAAAAGUGCACCAAGUACGUAGUGGUGACAUUGCUCAUCUAACCCUACAUGCUGCAGGACCACCUGGGGAGCAAUUAGGAUUAGGUGACCGACAACUUGAACCAGGACCAACAUUGUUGGAAAAUCUACGACGCAUUCGAUAAUCAGAGACAUCCCCUAUUGUAAAUGCACCGGCACCACCUGCUAGGGUUGGGGUCGAUAAGACUUCAGUAGAGCCAUCGUUAUUGCACUGUAGAGGUUCCAAAGUUUCAACUACAUCACUCAUCAAGGGUCUUGCCUUGGGAUUCAGGCUCAAACAAUAAUAUGCCAAACUGCAGGCUUUCAGUGCCGCCCUUACAGAGUACUGGUUCUCCAAUCUAGGGUCAAUUAUUUGCAGCAAUUUUCUCUUAUCAUUCAAUUUUGGACGGGCCCAAUCUACUAAGCUUUGCUCCUUGCUAGGCCUUGUCUUGUCAACAGACUUCCUUCCUGUUAAUAGCUCUAGAAGAACAACUCCAAAGCUGUACACAUCACUUCUUGCAGUCAAGUGACCAGUCAUCACAUAUUCAGGGGCAGCAUAACCAUAAGUACCCAUCACUCGAGUUGACACAUGAGUCUCAUCACCUUGUGGCCCAGCUUUUGCAAGCCCAAAAUCAGAUAGCUUGGCAGUAUAAUCAGAGUCCAACAAUAUAUUAGAUGUUUUGAAGUCCCGAUAUAUAACUGGCCUUUCAGCAUUGUGAAGAAAGGCAAGCCCUUUGGCAGCUCCAAGAGCAAUCAUCAUUCUUGUGGCCCAAGACAAUGGAACAGUUGCUUUUCGAAAGAGGUGAUUCUCAAGACUUCCUCGGAACAUAAACUCAUAAACAAGUAAUCUAUGAUCAUCCUCGCAACAGUAUCCAAUCAACUUCACCAGAUUAGGAUGCCUAAGCUGUCCCAAAAAGUUGACUUCCGUAAGCCAUUCGCGGUGGCCCUGAAGGCCCUCCUUGUUGAGAACCUUGACAGCAACUGGCAGAGAUUUGAGGCCAACUCUGACAUUCUCAUCAAUGUAGCCUUUAUACACUGUCCCAAAUCCACCUUCGCCAAGGAUGUAAUCCGAGCGGAAGCUCUUAGUUAUAGUUUCCAGUUCAUAUAAACUGAAGGCAAUAACAUGGGUAUAAAGGACAGCAUUCUUCCUGGAAUCCUCAAAGUUUCGAGGGGUAGAAGAAGGAUCAUUCAGAUCUGAUACAGGCUGACUGUGCUUCUUCUCAGAGGGACCAUUUUUAACACCCACAGAAGAGGAAGAUAACAUAUGGUGUAGCUGCUGUUGAACUUGAGCAUUGGAGACAACAGCAGAUUCCUCUCUAGUGCCGCAGUUGCCCAUGAUGUUGGUUGAUGUGAAAGUGACUGAACGUUGAACCUGAUGGAAGCAGCAGAAGCAGUGGAAAGACUAUAGCGGGCAGUGACUCCGGUAGCAGUAGCAGUAGCAGUUGUUGUUGUUGUACUAGUAUGGCUGUCCUGCUGGCAGCCCAGACACAUUCUUUUAGGUGCUUUUAUGUUGCCCUCUUCAACCCCCCUCCCCUCCCCCCAGCCCAGCCCCUCUCCUUGCUCUAAUUUUUUUUCUCUCUCACACUAGCCAACAUCGUACCCUAUCUUUUAAAAUAGUAAAAUUAUUAUUAUCCUUUGCCAUCAGUGUAUACAGAUAUAUAAAUAUAUAGUAUCUAAUAUUACAGUAGGCUUAUUCCUAUCCAAAAAAGUUUCUAUUUUUCUUGCCCUUUCUCUCUGGCUGUCGCAGUCUUUCUUCGAAUCAGAGUGAACAGUGGAAGAGCGUUGUGUGUGAAUAUCCUCCACCCCCAUUUGCUGUUUCAAAGGUUGGUAGGACCCUGGAUCCUUCUUUUCUUUCCUCUCUAUUCACAGUUGGGUAACUAACUCUUGGUCACUUUCAAUGCCGCAUCCUCUUCUCCAAC